rnacentral:sRNA from 1 species
AAACAAAAAACGCCCAGAACAACCGUUCUGGGCCUAGGGAAAUGGCCCAUUGCUGAGCCGUGCGCUAACUUUUAAAGGGAGAGAUUUAACGUAAAUCUUGCACGAAUCUCAAUUAUAGAUGAUGUUUGCUCAUUUUAUAAACA